UACGGAGGGUGCGAGCGUUGUCCGGAAUCAUUGGGCGUAAAGGGCGCGUAGGUGGUGGCUUAAGCGUGCGGUGAAAGCCCGGGGCUCAACCCCGGGUCGGCCGUGCGAACUGCGGGACUGGAGCACUGUAGAGGCAGGCGGAAUUCCGGGUGUAGCGGUGGAAUGCGUAGAGAUCCGGAAGAACACCGGUGGCGAAGGCGGCCUGCUGGGCAGUAGCUGACGCUGAGGCGCGACAGCGUGGGGAGCAAA
rnacentral:rRNA from 1 species